GAGCACUUGAAGGAUUUGGCCAGGGAUUGCACACGUCCGGAAACCCACCCCAUCCAUGAGAGAAUGGUUCCACUUCCACUGCAGAUGGACGACAUUCGGGUUCCUGAUAAUCGGGGACUAGAGGCAAAGUUUUUUCUCCUGCACGUUCUGAUGCAUUAUUGCUCAUCAAAUCUACUGGAGGACUUGGAGACCCUCCAUAAUAUGGUAAACUUGAUGCACUGGAUUCUCGUGACGCAUAAUAUCUUGCAGGGAAAUGAGAUCUGGGUACAUCACUUCCACUGCACAACAGGUAACACGAGGGAAGAACAAAAGCAAUCAAGCAGUCCGCCCCAUGUUAGUGGGAAAGGUGUGACCGACGCUGGUUGGUGCUGACUACUGCUUCCCUCUUGAGAUCUAUGCCUUCGAGUAUCGCACAAGAUGGAUCGCUCUCCCAGCUACCUUCCAACUUUUUAUGCUCUAUUUCGAUGAUUUCACCACAACCUGUAAUACAAACACAUUUUUCUUUUGGUGGCUCCACCAGAAAGUAUGGGGGAAAAGAGUAGUGAUAAUUUUAAACGGUAUCACAAUGUUUUAUCCCACAA